AACGCUAGCGGCAGGCUUAAUACAUGCAAGUUGAGGGGCAGCAUGAUAUACGCGAGUAUAUUGAUGGCGACCGGCGGACGGGUGAGUAAUAGGUAGGAGACCUACCUCAUACAGGGGGAUAGCAUAGAGAAAUCUGUGGUAAUACCCCAUGAGGUUAUAUGAAUAGAGGCAUAUAAUCAAAGCAUAAGCGAUUAUGCGGUAUGAGAGGGGCCUACUGACCAUUAGCUAGUUGGUGAGGUAAGGGCUCACCAAGGCGAAGAUGGUUAGGGGUUUUGAGAGAGAGACCCCCCACAUUGGAACUGAGAGACGGUCCAGACUCCUACGGGAGGCAGCAGUAGGGAAUAUUGGGCAAUGGGCGGAAGCCUGACCCAGCCAUGCCGCGUGAAGGAAGACGGCCUUAUGGGUUGUAAACUUCUUUACUAUGCGACUAACUAGAUUUACGAGAUAAUUCUAUAGAAUGUAGCAUAGCAAAAAGCACCGGCUAACUCCGUG
rnacentral:rRNA from 1 species